CUCUAACUUUUUUCUAAAUCUCUAAUUCUCUUUCACUCUUAUUUUCUGAAAUACCAAAAUAACCCUCCCACUCCCAGGAUUAGCAUCCCCCAAGUGACCUUCGGUCCUGCCAUGGCAGAAUUAGCGGAGCGUUUCUUUGAACGAGGAAGCUCAUCUACGGCGGCGGCGGCGGCCACCUCGGUCUUGUCAGCUUCUUUGGCGUCCAAAGACUCCGGCAAGGCCAUGACCACCUCUUCAACAGGCGGAGAAAAAGACUUGUCUGCAUCACAAACGUUCACAACCUCCUUCAACGAACUCGUAUCUUGCAGAUCAGAGGAACGUAGGUCCGAGUCACCAGAUCCAUUCCCAGAUUUGUUGGCAUCAUCGAGAAUCUCCUCAGAGGGAAGAACAACUAAUGCGGCGUCCUGGGUCACCUGGAAGUUUCAUAACAAGGUCGUGAAUUUCGGUGAAAUUCAUCGACAAAAAUUAAUUUAUAUUAAUUAGAUUUUAUAAAAUCAGUUCAGAUUACCCAAAAUCUGAAAGAGAGGAACCCGUGAAAGGAGCGUGGAAGUGGCAAACUCCUAAUUCCUCCCUGUUCAGAUUACACAACAUGUAUGAUAUUAGUUUUCACUUUUCAGCAUCAUGAUUGUAAAGAAAUUUGAGUCUGUCUUCAAUUGCAUAUGUUUUACUUCAUGAUUACUUGAAUACUUAUUUAUUACAGACCUCACUACUUGCCAUCCUACUUGGUAAGUUAACUCUAUAUAUUUUUACAUUUCAUUAUGUUAAUUCCCCUUGUUCUGAAGUAAAAGUUUAUCAUUCAUCAAUUAAUGUUUAAGUGCUAUGUUUAACAUGUUUGCAGGUUUCAUCCUUGGGUGAAUAGGUGCUAUUGCCCUUCACAAGAGGUGGCUAAGAAAGCACAACAAGACGGCCUUAGUAAGGAACAGAUCAAAGUUUGUGGUUUGCCCAAUCGGCCAGAUAGUAAUCAUAUGCGGUCGUAACAAGAACCUAGCAUCCACCCUUGAAGCUAUCGAAUGGAAGGUUCCAGUAAAGAUUAGGGGAUUUGAGAAACAAAUGGCAAAAUGGAUGGGAGCCUGUGAUUGCAUCAUAACAAAACCAUCUUCCCUAACUACUCUCCAAGAUUGUGUAUAUGGCAUUGAUAUUCAAAACUUUGAUAUGAUCAUAUAUGGUUGCAUAUAUUUACUUUAUGCAAUAAAUUGUUGGGACACCUGAUGAACUGAAGUCUACUCUCUCAAAAUCCUUCUCGGCUCAAAAUCGUCCAUUAUCAAUGUUAUUAUUGAUCUUUAUGCUAGGGAGUGGGAGGCUGUAACACAAGAACUGAUUUUUAAAUUUUAAAUUUCAAUAAUACAAAUUAUAUAGCCUUGUGGUUCUUUAUUGUGUACCAUGAUAUGAUAAAGACACAAAUUAUAUUCUAUGAAUCCACACAAAUAUAAAAUGUUACAUUAUCAUAAUGAAUACUUAAAGGAU